rnacentral:rRNA from 1 species
UACGUAGGGGGCAAGCGUUGUCCGGAAUCAUUGGGCGUAAAGCGCGUGUAGGCGGCCUGGUAAGUCUGGCGUGAAAUCUUGGGGCUCAACCCCAAGCGGGCACUGGAUACUUCCAGGCUUGAGUCCGGAAGAGGAGAGUGGAAUUCCUGGUGUAGCGGUGGAAUGCGCAGAUAUCAGGAGGAACACCAAUGGCGAAGGCAGCUCUCUGGUACGUGACUGACGCUGAGACGCGAAAGCGUGGGUAGCAAACAGG